GUGGGGAAUAUUGGACAAUGGGCGCAAGCCUGAUCCAGCAACGCCGCGUGAAUGAUGAAGGCCUUCGGGUCGUAAAGUUCUUUUGGUAGGGAAGAAAAUGACGGUACCUACAGAAUAAGCUCCGGCUAACUUCGUGCCAGCAGCCGCGGUAAUACGAAGGGGGCUAGCGUUGUUCGGAAUUACUGGGCGUAAAGCGUGCGUAGGUUGUUAUUCAAGUUAGUGGUGAAAGCCCAGGGCUUAACUCUGGAACUGCCAUUAAAACUGAAUAGCUAGAGAGUGUUAGAGGUAAGUGGAAUUCCUAGUGUAUGAGUGAAAUCCGUAGAUAUUAGGAGGAACAUCAAUGGCGAAGGCAGCUUACUGUGUCACAUCUGACACUGAGGCACGAAAGCGUGGGUAGCAAACAGGAUUAGAAACCCGGGUAGUCC
rnacentral:rRNA from 1 species